rnacentral:rRNA from 1 species
UACGGAGGAGGCAAGCGUUAUCCGGAAUUAUUGGGCGUAAAGCGUACGUAGGUGGCUAGUCAAGUCUGCGGUCAAAGACUGGGGCUUAACCCUGGAAAGGCCGUGGAAACUGACGAGCUAGAGUGCAGUAGGGGUAGAGGGAAUUCCCGGUGUAGCGGUGAAAUGCGUAGAGCUCGGGAAGAACAUCGGUGGCGAAAGCGCUCUACUGGACUGCAACUGACACUCAGGUACGAAAGCUAGGGGAGCGAAUGGG